rnacentral:snoRNA from 1 species
ACUGCACACUAUUAAAACUUGGAGUGGAGGCCAGUUUCUGGCCAAUUAACUCUUGAGUGUCGGAAGUGUGCUAGAAUAAAUUUGGCAGGAUUUUCGCUAACACCAGUAGAGUGUUUCUUUGUGACUGGGGUUUGAUAGUAGUUGCUGCCACAUUC